rnacentral:misc_RNA from 1 species
ACCCGAGGCAACACCAGGAAAACACCCUUUGAGACAUACCUAUAACUGUUGCUUCGGCGGGUAGGGUCUCCGCGACCCUCCCGGCCUCCCGCCUCCGGGCGGGUCGGCGCCCGCCGGAGGAUAACCAAACUCUGAUUUAACGACGUUUCUUCUGAGUGGUACAAGCAAAUAAUCAAAACUUUUAACAACGGAUCUCUUGGUUCUGGCAUCGAUGAAGAACGCAGCGAAAUGCGAUAAGUAAUGUGAAUUGCAGAAUUCAGUGAAUCAUCGAAUCUUUGAACGCACAUUGCGCCCGCCAGCAUUCUGGCGGGCAUGCCUGUUCGAGCGUCAUUUCAACCCUCAAGCUCUGCUUGGUGUUGGGGCCCUACAGCCGAUGUAGGCCCUCAAAGGUAGUGGCGGACCCUCUCGGAGCCUCCUUUGCGUAGUAACUUUACGUCUCGCACUGGGAUCCGGAGGGACUCUUGCCGUAAAACCCCCAAUUUUCCAAAGGUUGACCUCGGAUCAGGUAGGAAUACCCGCUGAACUUAAGCAUAUCAUAGCCCGGGAGGCAAAAUUGUUCGGGAAAAAAAAAAAUAUAAUCAAAAACACAAACAUACAGGUGAAGUAAAAUUAAUCAUAGUAGGCCCUAAGGAGGCCACAAUAGA